rnacentral:rRNA from 1 species
UACAGGGGGGGCAAGCGUUGUUCGGAAUUACUGGGUGUAAAGGGCUCGUAGGCGGCCAACUAAGUCGGACGUGAAAUCCCUCAGCUUAACUGGGGAACUGCGUCCGAUACUGGAUGGCUUGGAUUUGGGAGAGGGAUGCGGAAUUCCAGGUGUAGCGGUGAAAUGCGUAGAUAUCUGGAGGAACACCGGUGGCGAAGGCGGGUCUCUGGGCCGAUACUGACGCUGAGGAGCGAAAGCGUGGGGAGCGAACAGG